rfam:Dokdonella koreensis DS-123, complete genome.
GCCGGGAGGGCGGCUAAUACAACACCCCGCAAGGGGAAAUACGCCCGCCGUCUCUGUGCGGUUCUAGCCUCCCGGCAUCCCCGG